rnacentral:lncRNA from 1 species
UGAGAUUAAGGUGGGGAAAAAGAAAGGAAUCCCCUCUGACGCGUUUGGAUUCUCAUAUUUGAGAAAAAGUUUUUUUUUCUCUUUCAAUUCGGGCUUGUGUUGCUACUUGAUUGGAGAAUUUUAUCCCAAAUGAGAUAAGGGAGGAUCCUCCUCCUGCUAGCUGUCAGUCUCUCUCCCCUUUUAUUUCUUUAUCUUUUUUAGUUUUU